rnacentral:rRNA from 1 species
UUGGAGGGCAAGUCUGGUGCCAGCAGCCGCGGUAAUUCCAGCUCCAAUAGCGUAUAUUAAGGUUGUUGCAGUUAAAAAGCUCGUAGUUGAAUUUCGAGACCGGCUUAUUGGUCCUGCUUUUGUACGUACUGGUAUAAUCGGUUUCUCCUUUCUGACGAACUAUAUUGCUAUUAAUUUGCUGUUAUAGGGAAUCAGGACUGUUACUUUGAAAAAAUUAGAGUGUUUAAAGGAGGCUCACGCUUGAAUACAUUAGCAUGGAAUAUCGGAAUAGGACGUUUGAUUCUAUUUUGUUGGUUUCUAGGAUCGACGUAAUGAUUAAUAGGGAUAGUUGGGGGCGUUAGUAUUCAAUUGUCAGAGGUGAAAUUCUUGGAUUUAUUGAAGACUAACUACUGCGAAAGCAUUUGCCAAGGAUGUUUUCAUUAAUCAAUAACGAAAGUUAGGGGAACGAAGACGAUCGGAUUCCGUCGUAGUCUUAACCAUAAACUAUGCCGACUAGGGAUCGGAUGAUGUUAAUUUUUUAAUGACUCAUUCGGCGCCUUACGGGAAAC